GGGCCCGCACAAGCGGUGGAGUAUGUGGUUUAAUUCGAUGCAACGCGAAGAACCUUACCAGGGUUUGACAUCCUCGGAACUUUCUAGAGAUAGAUUGGUGCCUUCGGGAACCGAGUGACAGGUGCUGCAUGGCUGUCGCCAGCUCGUGUCGUGAGAUGUUGGGUUAAGUCCCGUAACGAGCGCAACCCUUGUCCUUAGUUGCCAGCACCUCGGGUGGGAACUCUAAGGAGACUGCCGGUGACAAACCGGAGGAAGGUGGGGACGACGUCAAGUCAUCAUGGCCCUUACGGCCUGGGCUACACACGUGCUACAAUGGCUAGGACAGACGGCCGCAAACCCGCGAGGGGGAGCCAAUCCGACAAACCUAGUCGUAGUCCGGAUCGGAGUCUGCAACUCGACUCCGUGAAGUCGGAAUUGCUAGUAAUCGC
rnacentral:rRNA from 1 species